rnacentral:rRNA from 1 species
AUGUGGCCCAUUGAUGCACAACGAAUUCUUUCAAUCCCACUUUCGCAACAUAAUAUGGCAGAUUUCAUUGCCUGGAGUUAUACGAAAAAUGGUAUAUUCUCGGUACGGUCUUCUUACUCUGUGAAGUGGAAUUAUCAGUUUGGGAGUCAACUAAGACACUCUAACGAAAUGGGGUGAACGACACCUAACCCUAUAUAGUGUCAGAUAUGGAAGUUAUCAUGUCCGGCAAAAGUCAAAAAAAUUAUAUGGCAUACAUUACAUGGCACUCUCCCAUGUCGGGUAACACUCGCUAAUAGACACAUGAAGGUUUCGCCCCUUUGCCCUACUUGUUCUUAGGGUGUAGAGGACACGAAACACAUGCUUUUCCUAUGUACUAAAGUAAAGGAAGUUUGGAAGAGACUAGGGAUGGAUGACAUUAUUGAUAGAGCUUGUGAGGUUGAUCGUGUUGGAGAGGCGAUAUUGGAAUACCUUUUACUUCUUCCUGAUCAAGACUUGCAUAUUAUGGGGUACCAAAAUGUAUGAGAAAUGAUAGCUAUUUCAGCUUGGUAUCUAUGGUGGAAGAGACGGAAAUUAGUGCACAAGUAA